rnacentral:tRNA from 1 species
AAGGAUUUAGUUUAAACAAAACAUUAACUUGUCAAGUUAAAAACAUUAAAUGUAUUAAUAUUCCUUA